GUGGUUAUGGUGUAUUGCACGUUAGAUUUUCACUCUAAAGGAUUAUUUUUUAUAAUAACCAUU
rnacentral:tRNA from 1 species